rnacentral:lncRNA from 1 species
GCGGAUCGGCGCUGCGAGCCCCGCGGCUGCCUGCGGGACACCUGAGCGCGGAGGGUGCGGCACCUUGGCACCUUGACCCUGUGGCAGGGACAUCUCGGCCCAGGAAAGAAUGAGGUUUAGGCACGGCCUAACCACCUAAGUGAGGGCACUGAAGCUGCCGGGGGAAGGGCAAGGUCCGCGUUGCAGAGCCCAAGCCCAGUGGCGCAGGAUUUGUUUUGGUAAGAGGGGAUUUAGCGUCCCAAUUGCUGCAAAUUGACACAGUUGCGGACGUGCAAGCGCAGAAGAAAUUUGUCCUUCCUCACCCCACAGAACAGAAACAACUGUACACUUCUGCUUUUUAACUUACAUCUCCUCUGUCCUCCAAACCUGUGUGUCCAGAUGUGAAACUCAGAUCCCCAGGGGCUGUGGUAAUUUUUAAAUCUGGGGCUAGCCCCCCCCACCUCUAGGCCCUCUGUGGCUUUGGCUCUUGGUCAAGCUUGUGUAUUUGACAAGGCCAGGCCAGGCUCUUCACCAAAGAGCAAUGGCCUUGCAGAAAGAAAAUCUAGCUUCUAAGUUUAUUUGCCAAGUAUGUAUUGAGUGCCUUUCGUGUACCAGGCACUGUUUUAGACUCUGUGGAUACAACCGUAAAUAAAACAAAAACCCGGCAUUCCGGGCAUAGAGCU